rnacentral:rRNA from 1 species
GCAGUAGCACUCCUACGGGAGGCAGCAUGGGGAAUAUUGCACAAUGGGCGCAAGCCUGAUGCAGCCAUGCCGCGUUGUAUGGAACGAAGGCCUUCGGGUUGUAAAGUACUUUCAGCAGUGAGGAAGGUGGGUAUGUUAAUAGCAUACUCAUUUCGACGUUAGCUGCAGAAGAAGCACCGGCUAACUCCGUGCCAGCAGCCGCGGUAAUACGGAGGGUGCGAGCGUUAAUCGGAAUUACUGGGCGUAAAGCGCAUGCAGGUGGUUUGUUAAGUCAGAUGUGAAAAGCCCCGGGGCUCAACCUCGGAAUUGCAUUUGAAACUGACAAACUAGAGUACUGUAGAGGGGGUAGAAUUUCAGGUGUAGCGGUGAAAUGCGUAGAGAUCUGAAGGAAUACCGGUGGCGAAGGCGGCCCCCUGGACAGAUACUGACACUCAGAUGCGAAAGCGUGGGGAGCAAACAGGAUUAGAUACCCUGGUAG